rnacentral:lncRNA from 1 species
GGUUUGAAAACUUUCAAAAUAAAACAUCGGAGGAAGAAUUUCUUGGAAGAAAACCAGCUAGCCAAGUCUGCAUGUCUUCAUUCCCACGAACAUUCCAUGAAGAACUGACAGUGCAGCCUCUGAAAGACUUUUAUUUUCAAGAAAUAAAAGGAGCAGCCCCGUGCAAUCUUCUGGCCUAGAUGUUCUUAGAUGAAAAGUCCUCAUUCCCCCUCAUGACGGGGUGCUUCCAGGUAAGCCAAGGCCACGUCGGGACCAGAGCCAGCCUCCUCUGGUCUGCUGCCAGAGAGAGAUCAGCCCUCGGCAGUUUUCUCCACCUCACCAGCAGGUGCCAACAGCUAAGCCAUUCCACACACCUUGGGGCAAAGAACUGCCAGACCUCAGGGCCAAGUUCGGAGCCUGAAAAUUCUUCCAAAGGCUGUGGGGAGAAAUCUGAGGGUGCAUCCAUGCAUUACGUAAGCCGUGGGUACUCUGUGCCCUGCUGGUGCGCAGAGCGCUGGGCCUCCUGAAAUUGCACAACUCUUAGGCAGGAGCACUUGCUAAGUGUUGCAACAUGACUCCGCAUCUUUAUCAAAAAUGUGAAACAUCCACCCAGCACACACUUAGAAAACACUAAAAGCUCUUCUCCACCAGGUGGUUAAGGCUGCUUGAUCCGGCUGACAGGAGUGGAGCAGCUUGGGUGGCGUUGGGGGUGGGGAGCAGUUUUACUGUAGCUCUUGGCCCAGGAAGCUGAACACUCAGUACCUUGUACCACACUAGCCUUGAGCAGGGCAGGCUUCUGAUAAAAUGUACUUUUUUGUGUGUUUGUUUUUCCUGGCAGUCUCGUUUUGGGUUAUAAAUGGCUCUUUAUUUUCAUCCCAUAGAUCCAUUCUUGCCUCUGUUGUGUUCUCUUCUUGCUUCUGAUAUAACUGAAAGGUUGGUAAAAUCAUCACUGAUGAACCUGCCUGUUCUGACCUUGAGCGGAGGCUGCAUUUCCACAUUGCUCGUGCAGUCUACAGUUGCUCCCACGUGGGAGAGUUUGGCUAGAAUGGCCCCCCAAAAGCGGGGGCUAUCAUUCUAUUUACACUACUGCACUUGGUGCCGUUCAGUGCCAGGAAGUGGCGGGGACUUUCACUCGCUCCAGUCCUGCAACCUUUUCAGAGGGCUGUUGGGCAAUCGUCAGAGGUUACAGGGUUGGAACAACAUCCCCUCCCCCCAUAGGUCAUUCCCCCUGCAGGACAGCUUGGAGGCAAAUUUUAUUAAGUAUCAAGUAGCUGACCCACAGCAGUAUAAAUAGCGAGAGAGCAUAUGACAAACCCAGAAGUGAAUGUGGUAAAACCCCAGGCUGAAUACAUGUAAUGUGUUUACUGUCAUCAGUACCUGCAUGGAGAUGUUUGCCCAGCAACCAUCCAGGAAAGGCGUUGAACCAUAGAAAUGGAGUUAUUAAGGUUCAAUCUUCGAAAAAUAAUUUUAUCCCUACUUUUGAAAGCUUGAUGACCACACAGUUAUCCCAAGGAAGGGACCUGCAGAUAGGUUGGAUGUUGUUUUUUAUAAGUAAAGACUGACCCUUAUUAAAACACUGCAAGUUCAUCCAGGUAAGAGCCAGAGAAACGGGAUGGCAGCAUGGUUUAAUAGAGGGUAGGAACUGUAGGCGGCCACCAUCAGGCAAAAGGGACUCGAAAUGAGAAUUUUUCAAGGGAAACAUGGAGAGGAUUUUAAUUUUCUUUUCCCACCAUCACACCCUAUCUUUAUUUUAGGAAGCAACACAAUAUAAACCAUGAUUUACUGCAGUUGAUCAGACCACAGAUGAUUAAGUUAUGAGAGGCCACUGAGCUUUCCAAGGCCAGUUUCCUAAACAACCUACUUUGUCCAUCCUGUCCCCACUGGCUGGAGCUGGUGACAUUCCAGAAAAUAAUCUUGUGUUCUUAUCAUGAUGGAAGGAAGCUCUGGGCAGGCAUGGUAUAAGAUGGAUGCGCAAUGAAAUUUGUUGAAUGCGCCCCUCAGAGAGGACCCAUUUCCAAGGCCUCCUUGGUCUUGCCUGAACCUGCAAUAUCCCUCGUAAGGAAAGACUACUGCUUCAUCAGGAUCGAAAUUUCAAAACUAUUUUGAAGGGUGGCAGCCCUGUUAAGGUCUAAUCCCUUGGAAGACAACAUGAACUCCUGAAUAUAUUCAUUCUUGUAUGUUUAUUAAAAAUCAGUAUCUUUACUUUGUAUCUAGAGUGAGGCAAAAAAAAGUCAAAGGUAUUCAGAGGCCAGAGUGACCACGAAGCACUGAUGCAGUCAGGGCGUGCUGCACAGAAGUGUGGGGUAUGGAUGAGGCCCUGGCCUUUUCCCAGGUUAACUCUCACUCCCUCAAAGACAUUGGCUCUUUAGGCAAUAUUCACUCUCCAUUUCUUCCUUAGUGAAACAAUACAGACAUGGUGAUGUGCCUGGCUAAAGACUACAUUUCCCAGCCUCCCUUACAGUAGGGGUGGCUAACGAGGCCUAAAGAGUUGUUGCUGGGAGGGCAGCAUUGUCAAGUUAAAAUAUGAGUUCCCUGGUUAAAUUUGAAUUUCAGAUGAACAACGAGUAAGUUUUAAUAUGAGUAUGUCCCAUAGACUAUAUCGAUAUUUUCAUUUACCAAAUUGGCAACUCUAUGGGUGAGGCUUCUGGGAAACAAGCUAGGACUCUCCUUUUGUGCCUUUUCUUCUUUCUCUUCUUUCCUGGGAUAUGGAUGGGAUAGCUGGAACUUCAGCAACCAUCUUGGAUCACGAGGUUAAAGAUGGUGGAAGAGAAACAUGGAACACUUGAGUCCCUAAUUUUUGUACAUUUCCAACUUAAUGUAUGAGAAUAAACCAUGGAUUUGCUUUAGCCACUCAUAGUACCUCUGUUAUCUGUACCAAAUUGCUUUUCCUAACUGAUAUGGUCAUAAUAACAGUGCAUUGUUAAUUUGGGGGUUAAGUCUAGUUACCAUGUGUCAUCUUCACUCUGCCUCUUAUGUAACAUGAGCCACUCCACUUUCACUGAGUCUAUUUUUAAAGGACCCCAAGAGGGAUGGAUGGUGCUCCUUAUACCCUUUGAAACAACAGCCCUCAGCAUGAAUUUCUACAUGGCAUUAUUUCCUAUUCUGCAAUAGCAUUUAAGUCUUUUGAGUACUUACUUUAGGUGAUUAAUAAUAAUAUUUCUAAAGAAGAACAGUUCUUAUCUCUACACAAAGAUUUGGUCUGAAAAUCUCAAGUCCCAUAAAAUGUUACCUCGAAACUCCAGAAGCAUUAUUUUAUAACAGUAAACUCAUACUUGAGUUUUGAUCUUGUGCUUUGAGAAAGUUUCCCUUUAUAGAGUUUAAGUCUUCACUAGCCCUUAGGUUGACAACCUUCCUCAUAGCCAGUAAAGAUUAGCUAAGGGUAGUCACAUGCACAGGUAAAGCUGAUUUGCAAAGCUCCAUCAAUAAUUCAAGCACGAUGCAAAAUCUAACUCUUCCAGCCUUGUUAGCAGCCUUUGAAUAGUCACUGUGAGGCAAGUGGGGAAAUGCAGAGGGUCAUAGACUUGGCCUCUUUAUGGAUAAGCCGCAGCCAAAUAGCUUAACUCAGCUGGGUAUGCAGAGGAAAGGAAGUUCCUGGGCUGUGAACUGUGUAAAUACCUGCCCUACCUUUUGCAGUGGAAUCUUUCGAAGGUUAAGUGAGAGUAAAUAAUCAACUAAGAUUUCUCAGAUUGGCUGCGUUUACUUUUCUUUGAAAAAAAAUUUUCCCCGUGAAGACAAAGUAACUUUGGAAUGAGAGUAUUAUUUCCUUUUAGGCCUCCCUGCUUCAGACCUUCAGAUCUUCAAGAUCUGGCCUGGCCUGGCUGGCAGAGGCUGCCUGAGGCAGGCAGGGAGUCUUGCCAUGUGGGUGAAGGGAGGUGAGUUAGAAUUUAACAGAAAGGAGGAAAAGAAAACUCCCAUUUCAUGUUGUAAGUUUCUGCACAGGCUUUUCAGGGGUGAGCAGAGUCUGGCCCCUUGUCCAUCAUUGGGGGUAAAUAAUCAACUCCUAAUAUUGGAAUUUUAUUGCAAAAGAACAAGUAAUACACAAAUGGAGUUAGAUUGACCUGGAAGAUCUGGCCUUGAGAUCUGGUGACAAGUCGCAAUGUCAUGAUCGUUAGCUCAAAGAAUUGACGGAUAAGCCUGUUUUUACACAGCUGUCUCACAGAUCCAAAUAAAAAUUGUCCUGACGUGAGCUGGGGGCAAGGGAAAGAAAGCAUAUCUUUUCAUUGGUAUUAUCUGCACAAUGUUAAGGGGGAAAGAAUUUAUUUUUUUGGUUCAGAGGACACUGAUUUCUAUUUUGUCCACAGUAUACUGCUUAUAUUUAUAUUGAAUAUCCAUUCAGCAAGCAUCCAUUGAGUGUCUACUAUGUGCCAGGCACUGUGCUAGAUGCUGGGAACAUGCCCAGCAGUAUAGUGCUGACGGCAGAAAGGAUAAUGAUGCUACUUUUGAACUUCACGAGUAGGUUAGAAUUUUACAACGUCCCUGUAGUCACUUCCCUCAAGCACACAGCCAGGGCCAGCCACCCUCCUUUUAUUGUGAUCUCUUCAGGUAAUAGCAAUUGCUGUUUAAAACAGAAGUCACAGAGUUCCCGUCCUGGCUCAGCGGAGACGAAUCCGACUAGAAUCCAUGAGGAUGCGGGUUUGAUCCCUGGCCUUGCUCAGUGGGUUGGGGAUCCGGCGUGCUGUGAGCUGUGGUGUAGGUCGCAGAUGAGGUUCAGAUCCUGGGUUGCUGUGGCUGUGGUGUAGGCCAGCAGCUGCAGCUCCGAUUCAACCCCUAGCCUGUAUGUUAGAAGUCUUUUCUCUGCUAGUGAACAAUAGAAACUUUGGUCAGGCUUUUAAAUUUCUCUGGGAUUAACUUUGAACAUUUAUAGAAUGAGAUGGUAGGAAGUAGGACUAGGUUGAGUUAAUGAUUCAGUUUUAGGAUCAGCAGUAAGAGUAGGUUACUAGCCACUAAUCAACUGUUUAAUCUCAGGUAGUUACUCAAAUCUCUUAAAGUCUCAGUUUCCUUAUCUGAGAAAUGGGGAUAAUAUGCUAAUUAUUGUGAGGAUGGAAUGGAUUAAUGAGUAACAAAUCUGGUUCAAUGCAAGGCGUAGCAGAAAUUCUCCUGUGAAUGUAGCUAUUUUUAUCCUACUCAAGAAUUAUUUGAAUUUUGGUCUAUGUGUGUAUGNNNNNNNNNNNNNNNNNNNNNCUCUAUCUAUCAUCUCUCUAUCAUCACUGAUAUCUUUGUAAGUGGUUAUCUGAGGGAUAUUGACAUAUUAGGGCACAAACAUAAUGGAUUCUUUUUUAACCUUUUUCUUUUCUUUUUUUGUCUAUUAGGGCCACACCCUAAUAAUAAAAUCAUAUAUUAUAAUAAGGCAUGUUAUUUUAUCUGUAUAUUAGUAUAUAUAGUAUAUUUAUAUAUUAUUAUAUACAAGGUAUAUAAUAAUUACAUCAAUACGUUUGUAUAUUAUAUUAUAUAAUACAUGUGUAUUUAAAUAUUAAAAUAUAUAUUGAUGUAUCAAUGAGUAUUUUCAUUUAAAACUUGUUAAAGGAAAGAGUUCCUGCUCUGACAGAAGAAUCUAGUCGUCAAUCUCAUUUUUCUCUCCAUUUUAAAUUAAUUUUUUUUUUCUUGGCCAUGCCCACAGUAUGUGGAAGUUCUAGAGCCAGAGACCCAACGCUCACUGCAGCAGUGGCGACACCAGAUCUUAACCUGCUGCUCCACAAAAGAACUCCCUUAAAUGUAUAUUCUUGAACAAUGAUAUAUUCCUCCUUUUUAGAGAGUACUUAAAUUUUCUGAUGCUUUUAAAAAACUUUUUAAAAAUUACAGUAACCAGGAAUUCCCGUCGUGGCACAGUGGUUAAUGAAUCCAACCAGGAACCAUGAGGUUGCAGGUUCCAUCCCUGGCCUUGCUCAGUGGGUUAAGGAUCCGGCAUUGCCAUGAGCUGUGGUGUAGGUCACAGACACAGCUCGGAUCCUGCGUUGCUGUGGCUCUGGCGUAGGCAGGUGGCUACAGCUCUGAUUGGACCCCUAGCCUGGGAACCUCCAUAUGCUACGAGAGUGGCCCAAGAAGUGGCAAAAAGACAAAAAAAAUAAAAAAUAAAAA